rnacentral:lncRNA from 1 species
AUGUAAAGUUAAGAUGGAGUCGACUGUGGAUAUUAAGUGUUUAAAGGAAAAAUUUAUACUUUAUGUGUAAGACAACAGUAAGCUACUGAAAUGUACAAUUUAACAUGGUCAAGACUUGUGUUUUAGGAUUUUCUCUUUGAAAGAGAAGACGCUGGAGACAAGGAAACUAAUGAAGAGGAUAUUGCCGACAAGAGACUGGAGACAAGAAGACUAAUGAAAAGGAUAUUGCAGACAAGAGAUCUAAGAUUCAUCAGUUCCAAAGUAAAAACAAAUUUAUUGGAUAUAUAUAGGAUGAUCAGGAGAAAAAGGUGAAAACUGUCAAUGUCGUGUGUGUAUUUAAAUAAUUUUUUCUGAUACAUAUAUCCUGGAAUGCAUUGUUGUUGUAGUUGUCCUGAUCGAAAACUCAAACAUUAAGGAUCUUUUGACUUUGGGGAAAUGACACAAGUGUCCUGUAUUUGUUUCCUCUGACUAUGAGUGGAUUAGACUAGAGGGCCUUUAAGAACCAUUGCAGUUUUAGAUUUAUAUGUAACUAUGAUCCUCCUGGGCAAGUAGGUAGUGCGGUGGGUAGUGCCCCUCCUGGAGUUAGGAAGACCUAAAUUCAAAUACUUGCUAGCUGCCUGACUCUAAAUCAUCUAAUCCUGUUGACCUCCAUUUCCUCGUUUAAAAAAAGAAAAGAAAAGCUGGGGAAGGAAGUGGCAAAUCACUCAUUUCUACCAAAAAAAUCCCCAAAUGAGGUUAAGACUCAGACAUGAUUGAACAUCAACAACAAACGAUCCUCUUCCACAUAUCCUAUUUUCCCUCAGCGGGGGUGACCUAUACUAACAUUUUCCCGAUAUUCGCCAACGCUUUUAUCCUCGCCUGACAAAAUCUGUAUUCUUUUUGUAUGUGCUUAUUUAUGCCCAUGUUGCCUCACAAUGGAAUGAUACAUUUAGAUACAUUUAUUUAAACCCUUAUUAACUAGCCACUGUGCGAACUAAGUCACUGACUUAGAUUUAACUCUCCCAGGCGUUUAUACGCUUCAUGAAUAAAGUCAUGUGGACUUUAAAAAUGCAUUAAAAAUUUUAUCAGACUUGGACAUCGGCGCCUAAGCGUCCCUCGCUUCCCAGGCACGAGGCUUUAACCAGCCUCUCCACCCGCCUCUGUGAAAGGGCGGUAACAAAGAGCCGGGGCUCGCUGAGCAGGCGCAGCCUCGCGCGCCCCGAGGUCCCAAGGCCCGCAGACCCCAGCCGUCGGUGGGCACCGACGCCUCUCGUUAUCCCCAGCGGCCUCCUCCGAGGCUGGGAGCGGCCCAGGUCGGAGCUCUCACAGGGCCCGAGAGGAGAGAGGGCAGCCGCAUUUCAGAGAGAGCCGCCCCGGGGAGACGGAGCGGCCCGCUCAAGGUCACGCAGCGGCAGCCAUGUCUUUGGCCUCCAUCCGGGGCCACCUACAAGCGCUGGCCGAGCAGGGGGCACCGACACCGCCCCCCUCGGGGAGGCCGUGCUGGGGGCUUCAGACGGGCUCGGUCACAAGCAGAGAGAGGACGCCUCCUUUACUGGGGCCCCAAGAACAAAACAACUGGGCCUCCUUUUCCACCAGCAGCCUCUCACAAAGGCUCGACCGUUGUUGCCUAAGCAACCGGCUCCUAGUAACCGCUCCUUCCGGCAGAACACUUCCGUUUCCACUUCAGAGGAAGUGACUUCACCCUAGCUUUCUGAGGUUUGCACAGUGCCUGAUUCAGACUAAAUGCUUACUGACUUAGAGGUGAUUUCUUGGGUAAAUACUUUCCACCAAGCUCUAUGAUCCCCAUAGCUUUGUGCUAGGCAUUGGAGACACAAAUAUUUUAAAAAAUUGUCCUCAAGGCACUUUCAAUUC